rnacentral:rRNA from 1 species
UUGACUGAGCGGCGGACGGGUGAGUAACGCGUGGGUAACCUGCCUCAUACAGGGGGAUAACAGUUAGAAAUGACUGCUAAUACCGCAUAAGACCACAGGGCCGCAUGGCCCGGUGGUAAAAACUCCGGUGGUAUGAGAUGGACCCGCGUCUGAUUAGCUGGUUGGUGGGGUAACGGCCUACCAAGGCGACGAUCAGUAGCCGACCUGAGAGGGUGACCGGCCACAUUGGGACUGAGACACGGCCCAAACUCCUACGGGAGGCAGCAG